UCCAAGAAAAGAACCACUAAUAUCGUCAUACAUAACAGCGUUCUAGUUGUGUGAAAUGGCAGAAGUCUUCUGCAUUCUCUAAGUAAAAAAAAAAAAGAAAAGUAUUAAAAACCUGGAUCCUUUAAAAUAUCAACGAAGGUUUCAAUUUCAUCACUUUUUACGUGACAAUAAUAAGAGAGAUUAUUUUUAAUAGACACGUAAUUCAUAGUUAUUAUCCUAUUUAUGUCUCGACUAAUCUAUAAUCUUUUGCAUAUAUUUAAGUCCAAUCGAUCAAUCUUCGACAAACCUUCAAUUAUCCCUCGUUAUAACAAAGAAAUAAACAGAUCCAACAUUUAUGAAAAUGAUCUAAAUUAACUCAAGUGCCAAUAAAAUCAACCAACUAAUUACCAGCUUUUGUCCUUUCAGUUAUCCUGUUUUCUUGGAAUUUUAAAAAAAUAUUUUCUGGAUUUCACAAUUUCUUAAGAAGAACUGGUCGAGUUUAAAGGGAGAAUUACGAGAAAUCUUUAUUGAUUUUCCAGCGAAGAAGAAAGAAAAUAAUCGAGCAGCCAUCUGAUUCAAUUUUAUUAAAAUUCUUCGAACGCGCAACAUGACGCAAACCAGGAAGACGUGUAUACGUAGGUGUAUGAACACCCUUCAUGAACACAUGUUAUAAAUUAUUCCGAGCAGAAGAAGAAACAAAAUAGAAACGAGUUUGGUAUAGAAAACAGAUAAAAGUUUUGUAGAUCCAGCCUUGUUUCUAGGAAUGGAAAGGUGUUACAGACGUUUGACAUGAUCUCUUCUUCUAUUGAAGAUUUUUAAUUAUAAUCAAUCAUCACUUAAAAAUUGUAAUAUAAUUCCAUGUAAAAAGGGUUAAGUAAAGGCGAAGAAAUUAACAGGCUUGAGAAAUUUUUAUCACAUUAAUUGAAACAAAUUGUUCGAAUGGAACAUGGUAGUCCCAUAUGAAUCAUGGGACAUCCCAAAUGUGAAACGUUUCGUUUAAUUGAAGGUUGCUUCAAUUGGUGUUAGCUGAACUCGAAGUUCUAGCUCCUUAAAUACAAAUUAAACAUUCAUCGCACGUUUUCCUCAAAUCAACAGUAUGCAUUGUGACAUCCAAAGCAAAUACCAUUACUAUUACGAAUAAUCAAAUCUUAUCGUUUUAAAAUUAACUUUCGAGAAUAUGGUAUCAACAUUUCGAUCUAUAUACUAUUAUCAAGUAAUAUAUCAGAUUGUUAAAUAAUGUAAACUAAAUUUGUUAAAUAAAAAGAUUACUUUUUCUUGA